CUUGAUCGACCCCAGCCACAGCGGCAGGUCGCGGUCCUGGCCGUAGGUGGCCAGCAGUGCCUGCACCUC
rnacentral:antisense_RNA from 1 species